GCUAAGAUGACCCCGUCCGGUCUCUCACGUCACUUCCUAGUCACUAGAUGUCCGUAGAUUUCUUAUAUUCAUUUUAGUCGGACAAAGCCUGUUCAUGUUCCAAAAUACAAGUCUCAAGUACCUAGUAGCUAGCAUCGCCUCAACUCUGGAGUACUCGGGCACGAGAAUCCGAAAUAAGGUAAUUCACAACUCAAGCCGGCCGGUCCCAAGAGUAUAUCACCAAAUUCGGGAUUCCUACCAAACAUACAUAUCAAAUUCCUCCAAGUAUCAAGAUAAAGGUUUUUAUAACUAUCACAUCUAUGAUCCACCCCUUCACUCUAGAAGAGCACUUAACCCUUUUUCUCAUCCAUAUGAUAAGGACCAUAACACCACUUGGUCCUAUCUUGCUCCUUUGUAGGGACCACGUGAAGUGGCUCUAAAUUACAUCGCUACAAGAAAUCAUUUAACUUUCAAGCCAGUCCCACAGUUUGGCAUCCUAAACAUCAGCCUAGGAUACACUACAAAGAUCUGAAGCCUAAGCUCUGAUACCACCUGUGACGGCUCUGGAAUUUUGAUUUCUAAUGGAACCUUUCUUGAUUUCUUGCUCCCAUCAUCACUAUAACCACUUAUCUAAGCUUAGAUACAACAUAGAUCAUCCAUAUAGCAAGUAUAAGCAGCACAUACCUCAAAAGAAACA
rnacentral:lncRNA from 1 species